GGGUAGGAGAGCGUCCCCUGCGGGGCGAAGCGGCGGAGUAAUCCUGCCGUGGACCGGUGGGGAGUGAGAAUGCAGACAUGAGUAGCGAGAGGCGGGUGAAGAUCCCGCCCGCUGGAUGACCAAGGGUUCCAGGGCCACGUUCAUCGUCCCUGGGUGAGUCGGGUCCUAAGGCGAGGCCGACAGGCGUAGUCGAAUGGAUGAACGGGUCGAUAUUCCCGUACCGGCUUUCAGCCGCCAAAACCGAAAGGGUGAGCACUAACCUCCGCGUCGUCGCCUCCCCGGCCUUCGGGCCUGGGUCGCGGCGUCGUGUUGGGACCGUAGCCCCGGUAGGUCAGCGCAGGAGUGACGCAGAAGGGUAGCCGGCCGCGGAGGUGGUUUUCCGUGGCCAAGCACGCAGCCCGUCCCCCAGGCAAAUCCGGGGGGCAUCAGGGCGAGGUGCGAUGGUGGGGCCCGUAUGGGCCGAAUCCGGUGAUCCCGGCUGCCGAGAAAAGCUUCGGCGUCAGGCUGUCAGCCGCCCGUACCCCAAACCGACACUGGUGGUCAGGUAGAGAAUACCAAAGCGAUCGAGCGAAUCCUGGUCAAGGAACUCGGCAAAUUACUCCCGUGCCUUCGGUAUAAGGGAGACCCCUGCGGGUGAACCAGCUAGCCUGGGGAGCGUGCGGGGGUGGCACAGACCAGGGGGUAGCGACUGUUUACCAAAAACACAGGAGCGUGCGAAGACGUAAGUCGCUGUAUACGCUCUGACGCCUGCCCGGUGCCGGAAGGUUAAGAGGAUCCGUCAUCCCUUCGGGGGGCAGCGGUGAAUUCAAGCCCCGGUAAACGGCGGUGGUAACUAUAACCAUCCUAAGGUAGCGAAAUUCCUUGUCGGGUAAGUUCCGACCUGCACGAAUGGCGUAACGACUUCCCCACUGUCUCGACCAGGAGCUCGGCGAAAUUGCAGUACGAGUAAAGAUGCUCGUUAAGCGCAGAAGGACGAAAAGACCCCGGGACCUUUACUAUACCUUGGUAUUGGCAUUAGGCGCGGAUUGUGUAGCAUAGGCGGGAGGCUUCGAAGCGGGUGCGCCAGCAUCCGUGGAGCCGCAGGUGAAAUACCGCUCUGUUCUCGUUUGAUGUCUAACCUCGACAAGUCAUCCUUGUCAGGGACAGUGCCUGGCGGGUAGUUUAACUGGGGCGGUUGCCUCCCAAAGAGUAACGGAGGCGCUCAAAGGUCCGCUCAGCCCGGUUGGCAAUCGGGUGUCGAGUGCAAUCGCACAAGCGGGCUUGACUGCGAGACCGACGGGUCGAGCAGGGACGAAAGUCGGAGAUAGUGAUCCGGUGCCGGCGUACGGACGCGGCAUCGCUCAACGGAUAAAAGGUACCCCGGGGAUAACAGGCUGAUCAUUCCCAAGAGUCCAUAUCGACGGGAUGGUUUGGCACCUCGAUGUCGGCUCGUCGCAUCCUGGGGCUGGAGCAGGUCCCAAGGGUUCGGCUGUUCGCCGAUUAAAGCGGCACGCGAGCUGGGUUCAGAACGUCGUGAGACAGUUUGGUCUCUAUCCUCUGCGCUCGUCGGAACCUUGAGGAGGCCUGCCCAUAGCACGAG
rnacentral:rRNA from 1 species